CUGAUUGGGAAUUUUGGGCAUUUUAGCAAAGGGGUCGGCAACAGGCGAUAUUUUCUGGCCCGCCGAAUUAUUUUGGAAGUAUGUUUUUUUAUCAGACUAUUUUUAUUUUACAAUAACAGUUUACAAAUAUGGCUCCUAUCAUUCCUUCAUUCGUUUUUUCAAAUUUAAACCAAAAAGAAAAUAAAGAAAAACGACUUGUUUUUCUAUCAUUUAUUUUCUGAACUAAAAUGAAAAAAACAAAUAGGCCUAACGACUCGUUUUCCGAGUUUCUGAUUGUGCGCUCAGAUCAAAAAUAGAAAAAAUGAAUGAAACGGUUUAAGACAAAUUUUUAUUUAACACCUUAGCAGACAUAUAACAAUGAAAUAAUUUUAAACAGAUCGAGACACCCCUCGCUGCAGCCUGCAGCGCGAUGACGUGGUGGAUUAAUCCAAUACGUAGUGGAUGUUCAAACACGCAUGCGCAGUGAAUAUAAUGUUACGGGCAUGCGCGGUGGUGUGUUGUUGUUAGUGAACAAUCGCACGUGCUUUGGUAUUUCAAGAAGAAUCUGCCGGAAAACGAUGGAUUAUUUAACAACAGUGAUUGUAUAAAGGUAGGUAAUUAAUCUUUAUUUACUGAUUUUUUGUUUCAACAUGUAUAGUCUUGUGUAACGUUAGUGUUAGGUGUCCGAAACGGUAUAAAGGUGGCUUAAUAUGCUCACAGCGAUUCUCAUUUAAAUCUUAUAACAUUACUUCAGAACAUAUAUGCCAACCGUGGACAGACUGCAGGUCUAAUGUAAAACUAAUUUGAUUUUGCUAGGCUAACUAAUGUUUUUUUUGCUAUUGCAUUGUUCUAGAUGAAUGUCUAUUAAAAGGACAUUUGUCCAGCAAUUUCAAGGUGCACAUACUGUAACCAUCACUUAAUCUUAAAUGAAUACAUCUGGAUUGUAUUUUUUAUAAAAGAGACUUAGUACUUGUAUGUUAACAAUCCUUUGCAUUUUUAUUUGAAAAGGUCAACUUAAUGAGAUUUUUUUUUGUAAAUUUGACUGGAUUUGGCAAGAUGCCCUUGCUCAUUAAAGAAGAUGGAGAUGUGACUUUCCUCAGACUGUCUCUGACAUGCCAGCUUUUUCACCAUGUUGUUAGUCAAGCAUCUUUCAGAGAAAAGGCUCAUGUUGUCUGGCUUGACAGUGUUGUCAACUGGAACACAUUCUCCGUGGUGUAGAGAUUUAUUUACAGACUGUCCACCUGGUCGAGUUGGAGGAAGGGUGUCCCAGGGACGAAUUGUUCAUCUAUUCUGCAUCAGUAAAGCAGUGGUGGCGUGGCACUGACCUUAAACUAUUUAAGAUCAAACUGUGACAAAAGCUUUACCUGACCUGACUGCAGUCAGUUAUAUCCCACCAAACAUGAGACGUCCGCUCGACGUGCAGAUCAUGUCUAUAUUAGGUCGGUUGGUCCAGGCCCUUAUCUGUACGUCUAUACAACGUGCAGAUCUGGUACAGUAUCUGGACGUCUGAAUAUGACCCCUCUUGGACGUCAGGUAGACGUCCAAAAGGGGUUCGGGAAAUCAAAAAAAAAUAUUUUAUACAAAUGUGGUCUAUGAGUUCUGAGUCAAAAAACAUAAACAUCACGUGUAUUUUUGUAGAAUAUUUUGUUAAGCUGUUAAAACAAUGUUAUCUUUAUAUAUGAAUGAGUGUUCAAAAACAUAGCACUGCUCAUGGAUAAAGUUCCACCUUAAAUGCUGUCUCUCUCUCUCUCUCUCUCUCUCUCUCUCUCUCUCUCUCUCUCUCUCUCUCUCUUUCUCUCUUUAUAAUUAACAAAGAUGUAUAUGCUGACGUUUUAUUGAUAAUCUUUUGUCACCAUAAUGACGAUCAGUGAUUCCUUUAGUUGGGUAGUUUGACUCCUUGACUUUUUAUUAGUUUUUGGUCUUUAUGAGAGUGUUUGCUAAAGCAUGUAAUUUGUUGCAAAGAAAUUUUGUUAUAAACAAAACUCACAUGUGGAUCUUACAACUUCACUGAAUGUUUAUCAACAGUAAUUUCACAUAUGUACAGUCUGUAAAGUAAUUUUGUAAACCAUGUAGUAUUGUCUCAAUGUCUCAGUUGCUUUGAGGUGUCACACCCAACUUAUUAUUUAGGUUCAUACCACCACUGGGAGGUGCUCAUAUAAAAUUAAAAGUCCAGAUAUUGUUCUCACGUAUUCAGACAUCAAGAAUGACCUCAUGAAUCACAACAGUGGUGACACUCUCUGGACUCAUGAGUUCUUAUAAUACGCUGGUGCAAUGCAUUGCAACAUUUACAAAACUCACCAUCGUUGUGAUUCAUUGGCUGAUUCUUGAUGUCUGCAUUUGUGUCAAAAAAUUCUAGACUUUACAUUUUUUAUUACAGCCAUGAGGUUUCAUUUUCCGUUACAGUAGGCAGCAGUAUGCAUCGAAGUACGUUUAUUGCAGUUCCAAACAAAACAUUGAUAGAAGUUUACUUUUAAACUAAAUUUAUCAUGUUUUAUCUGUAUUGUUAGUUCAAUUAUACUAUACCACCACUUCUGACCAUCAAUGUAAUUAAUGGAAAGCCACAAGUAUUGGUAACAAACACUUAGUGCAAUAAUAAUGUGUUUUAAAAAACACCAUCAUCAAGCGCACACAAUUCAACCUAAAAACAAAGAGUCAAACUACCCAACUAAAGGAAACACUGAUCACCAUGAGGGUGACAAAACAUGUUCAAUAAAACAUCAGAAUCUUGUAAAUUCUCAAAAACGAGCCGUAGAAAUGACAAAAAAUAAGGUAACUUUGGUUUGUUUAGUGAGUAUGGUCCUACUUCAAAACAAUGCUUUGUUAAAACAACUUUUUGUAAUGGUGAUGACAUUGUUUUAGAGAAUGUACAUGUAACAAUUAUCCAGCGAGAGCAAGCGUGGGAGGAAGAGUGAAGUUCACGUCACUUCACUUCAAUUAUUAAACGAGAGAGAGAGAGAGAGAGAGAGAGAGAGAGAGAGAGAGAGAGAGUGAGAGUGAGAGAGAGAGCAAGAUUGCAGACGCAGAUAGUUAAGGUGGAACUGGUGUAUUUGGGAAUUAUCUAUAAGCAAUAUUUUUUUACAUUUAUUCAUAUAUAAAGAUUAUAUAUACACAUAUAAUGCCUAAAAUAGCCACAUUUUAAAUAGUUUUACUUUGCGUGGAGGUCCCCUUGACAUCAAUAUUGGAUGUUCAGAACACGUCAAAAAAAGACGUCAUAAAACCUUUCAUUCUGGCUCUUCAUGGGACGUCGAAAUGACGUCUUUUUAAGACGCAUUGCUCAGUGGGAUGUGACCCUGCCUGUGAAAAAACAGGAUAAGUCUUGAAAUGUAAUUAUAAUAUAAUGAGCAUCAAAGUGUUAUUUUCAUUAAUCUCACAUUGAUUUUGAUAUUUGACAUGAUUUUACUCAGUCAACCCCACACACCCAGACAACACUUUCUUUGAACUUUUGCCCUUUGGCGCUACAGAGCGCUGAAUACUAGACACAACAACAGUUUGUUCCUCAGGCUAAAACCUAAACAAUUAAAACACCCAUAACUUCCACACCUGUCAUAACUGUAUAUUGUUUAUAAUCACCACAUACUGUACAUCUGUAAAUACUAUUCUAAACUGUAAAUAUCACCUAUUAUCUAUCUGUACAAUUACAGCAUCUGAACAUCCAUACAUGCAUCACUACACACAAUUGUAAAAAAAAGGAGAAAAUAUAUAUACAUAUACUUACUGUACCAUACUGCUUAUUUAAAUUAUUUUUGUUUUUAUAUGACUAGUGUGUUAUUGUCUUUAGUGAUUUUACUUAGUUAUUCUAUGUAUGUCCGUAACAUGUCACCAAGAGAAAUUCCUUGUAUGUGACAAAAACAUACUUGGCAAUAAAGCAGAUUCUGAUUCAAUAUUAAA